GCUGCAUCGACGAGUGGUUUGAAGUGAACAGAUCAUGUCCGGAGCAUCCAUCAGAUUAAAGCUUUUUUUUGCACAGGUACCACACCAUGAGAGGGAUCUACAAAAUGAAAUUGUGGAUCCAGGGAGACUGCUGGACUCUGUGACCACUGUGAUCAGUUAACCCCGCCCCCCCAACCACCCACUCAAUAAUGUAGUACCACAGUGUGCCAAAUCUCAUUUAAGCAAUCUUCAGGGAUACAGACUUUGUGUUAUGUUUGAGUUGCACAUCCCACUCAGCCUCUGAGUGGACGGACUCAUCUCCACCUCACUUCCUCUCCAACCCUGAUUGUCAGGGCAUUAUGGCAGGCAGGGCUCUACUUCCUGAGAGGCAGAUGUCACCUGAUUGUACACCAGGACAGUACAGCAGGACGGGAGGAGUGGAGGUGGUCAUAGAGGGGCAGCGAUGGUGAGUUAACCCCUCCAAUGUUGUCCCUCCCCUCCUCCAUCAGCAUCAGUGUCUCCCAGUGCCUUGUUGUAGUGACGCCCAGCACACAGUAGGGCGGGACGGAGGAGGCCAGGCUAUCUGCAGAGCCACCUGGACCAGCAGGACCAUCUCACCACGACUGCCAUCCUACCACACCAGGAGAAACAAGCCAGAGACGGUCUGUCUGCAUCUGACGCUGUUGCAAAAAUGGUGCCAAUCAACUGUGAAUAUUGUCAAACACACAAUCAUCAGUGCUUUUUGAUCAUAAACCUUGGAAUGGAGGUCUUCAGGUACCAAAACCUGACCCUAACACCUACCAGCCUAAAUAUUGCACCAGGACAAAAGAAAGAAACAUCUCAGUUUCUUGCUAUAAUGAGAAAAUGGUCUUGUUUGUAUUUGAUCGUCUUUAUGUUGUAACAAGGUAUUUUUUUCUGUGACAGUGAUAUGCAACAGCAUGAGGGAGCUGCUCUAUAUUACAACAUGAGUUAUAUUAAUCAUAAUACUUAAAAAAAAAAAAAAAAGAUUUCAUAAAGCACCUUUUAACAGUAUAUAUUUACAGUAAAACCAUCUCCCUCCACCAGUAGAAAUUCUAAUUGGACAAAAAUUAGUUUUUAUUAAAACAACAAUAGCAUAAAUAGUUCAAACAUAUAAAAAGCACAGACAAUGGCAUUAAACAAGUGUAGCUACAAAACUAAAACAACAAAAAUAUAAUUUUUCUAAAAACAUGUUUGAAUUAGUUAUUAGUUAGUGUUAGCGACUCUGCAAGCCUCGGAUGGUCGGAGAAUGUGGUGAAUUUUUAUAGUAAGAAAAGCCCAGCGACACCAGCAGGACCACAUCAUCUGCACAAAGCAGGGACGCAGUCAUGAGGUCACCCAACUGGAAAGCAUGUCUACAAAAGAAUACGUCAUAAUAUAAAUGAUACCUUGUUCUGACAUGAAUAGGAUCUUGUACCAAGAAACUUUUCACAUCAGAGUUAAAGUGAGAAAAAUUUGGUGGACCUCAAGUUAAGGUUUUUAUUGUUUUGUUUUGUUUUUUUUUGUCAAGUUUGCUUUGCGUUACUUCUGGAAUAAUUAGCUUUUGUUGUUUUCAUCAAGUCUGUUGAACUCAGAUUUGAUCUGAGUAGGUUUUGUAUUAAUUAUUGCAUUUUAUUGUAUUAGUAGCAAUUACAAGUAAAAUGGUUCCCACUUAGAGCAAAGAAAGCAAAAAAGAAGAAAAAAAAUCAGGACGCCACAUUUGCUGCAUCUUUAUUCUUUUGUAAUGAAGAAGAGUAAGAAGCACCAGUGUGGGGACUGAUAUAUCCAGUAUUCUCCCUUAAGUGUGAACCACUUUACUCAGGUGAAAUUGCAGGUUUUACUAGUUUCAAGGGACCAGAUAACCAAGAAUGAGACUGUGAUCUUUUACAAUAACAUUAGUUACAAUGAGUUGUGCUACUAAAACUCUGUGCCGUGAACUGGUUGUCAUCACGCUGGGAGUCAGUAACCUGUUGCUCAGUUAUUGGUUUGUGAACUGGACUAUAGUAGACUGAUCUCGGGUCCUGGCAGCUUCAAUCAAACUUCAAUCACAGUGCUAAGGUUGAGUAAACUUGGCCGAGACACAGAACUGGGGAGACACUGGAAUCACUGGACCUGACACCCUGAGCCAGACUGUUUGGGAUUGGGUUUGCCUGAAGACCUCACAGAGGAACAAGAGUGUACAGACUUUUAAUCUGGUGAAAAAACUAUCACAGGUAUGGAUUUCACGGACGAGUUCUCUGUCGACCCUCGAGGAUGAGCUCAUCAGUGGAAUCAAUGAGAUCCAGGGUUUGUGUUGAUCCCAAAGCUCCAAAACUCACGUGGAAUUCCCUCCACAACCCCUUUUUUUCCAUGACUCCAGUACUGAAUCCACUGCUUGUCCAACCACCCUGAAGACUGUUUUUAUACUGGAAAAACAAAUAAGCUCCUUCAUGACUUCCUCAUAGCAACUUUAAAAGCAGUAUUGUCUAAUCACAGGCUCAUGGAGGCUCUUAAUGAGGGCAAGAUGAAGUUUCCAUUGAAAAAUGUUGCUUUUCAAGAGAGGAAGUACACCAGAUGGUCUCUGCUUCCCUUUACUCUCUUUGUCUCUUUAAAGUUACCUCCAGGUAGGUGAAGCACAGUAGCAGGGGUUAGUAUUUGCCUGGAAUGUCCAAAGCAUCACUGUGUACGUGCAGCGAUAGAAUUCUUAAUGUUAGCCAACAGACAGAAUUGGGACAGACUGCAGUGUGCAUCAGUUAUAUGAACCAUGCAGAUGACGCAUGUUUUUCGUACAACCCUUUAACAGAGCAGUUGAUAUUGUUGGGUCUCUAAUCUACAUCUUCCUCACAGACAUUAGGCAGCAAGUUAGGCAGGGAUCAGUUGAACACAUUAUUUACACUGCCUGCAGUAUGUACAACAUCAAACUCCUCACUACAUGACAGAAGCUACCAAAAAAAUUUCAAAUGAAAGCAUUGCAACAUGUUUUGCUUUGCAGUUUGCUGUUCAGCCUAAAAUCGUCUUUCUUCACUGGACUGCUUUCACUGGUAUCUGCCUUGUCAGUCAUCAUCUCUCUGCUGCAUCCAGCUGCCAUUGCACAUGUGGGUUUCCAGCAUAGUGUUCUGUUUUGACAUUCAUUUUAACUGGCAUUCCAACUAAUGUUACCAUCAAAGUCUUAUCAGGAAGAGCACUCAGCCUGUAAUAACUGCUGUAUGUUGUUUUUGGCUGUAAAAGAACUUUCUCAAGUCUGAGAAAAUUACUCAGCUGGCAUGAAUAGAGUCAUUUUGACUAGGGUAACAAAGGUUGGUUACGAACUGGGAGCAAGUUUCCAACUUCAAACAAACUUCAGUUUGUCCAACUUUGCUCUGAAUAAUAGAACAGAUAGAUGUCCCACGCCAGUCAAAAUUUGUAGUUCAAACUAAUGAAAUAUCACAAAAUCUACUCUAAGUCACCUGUUUAGAGCUGCCAGAUGAUGUGAAGAUGCCCAUGUUGUAAGAAUUUGUUAUUUAUCUAUUUGAAAGACACAAUAGAGCUGCAACAAUUGGAUUUUAUUAAUGUUUCACUGCUGCUACUAUGUAGAAUCUGCUGCGUUUUUGUCUUAUAUGAAAACAAACUCAAUACUUUGUAAUUGUGUUUGAGCAAGCAUUUUUAGACUUUUUUUAAAAAAAGCUUUUAUUGGUACUUUUUUUUUUUUUUUUUAACCCUAAGUCUCACGCUGUAAUAUGAAAAAACAUACAAGUCUCUGGAAUGAGAAAGUCAGACCACUAACCCUCCCUUAUUUUUAUUCCCCUAAUCAUUUUCAUUCAGCCCUUUAAGGAGACAUGAAUGUUUGACCUUCUACUGCAGACUGGAAGUUUAUGAUUAUUAUUAUUACCAUUUUAAUAACAUGCCAUUGCCUUUGAUCAUUCUUUUGUGAAUCUGUCUCUUGUGAAUCCUUCAACUACAUGGAGCUGCAACAGUGAACUACAGGAGUGUGGAGACAUGACCUUACCCUGUUUGUUGAAUGUAUGUAAACGUAUGCCAUUCUCUGGGUGGGAUGACAGUGAGGUAUCUGUGUGGGUCACUGGAGAAGAAAUGGAUUAAACUUUGGAGUUUUGGGAUCCACCCCAGGACACUAAUGACUACUGCUACAUCACCAUGUACACCUGACCGCCACGCAAGAGAUUACCUGAGUCAUGUAGUGCUCAGUCCCUCCACACGGUGGUGCUGCUUCCACAGAGUUCCUCUCUACAGUAUGAAGGUGGACCACCUCUUCUCAUCGCAGUCUCUGUUUGUAGCAAUAGUGUGGACAUGUGGCUGGUUGAUAGAAGUCUAACAGGGCUCAUGCUGUACCUUCAUCUCUCCCCCUAAUCUGACUCAUGCAAUCGAUUAUUACCGAUCAGCGUUGUUUUUUGGUUUUUUUCUUCACAACUUGAUUAUACAGCUGAUUUCUGUGAGCAGGUUUGACACUGACUGUCUUUUUAUUUUAAUCCUGUGAAUUUAAGAGCAAAAGUGCAACAGAUCUGGCCUUAAUAGAUGUGACAAUGACAUUUCACUGAUUUGUCCUUGUGGUUUGUUAUUUUUUUUCAAACAGCUGCCGGUAACAGCAGCGACUAAUCCAACGAGCGCACAGAAGCCUUUGUUGUGAAAUUAAAAACUUGCAGAGCAAAA